AUGCAGAUGGUAUCCUCAGGCCGCACAGCGGUGAACAUUAAUGGGGAGAUCGGCCCGUUCUUCCCCACGUUCUGUGGGGUCCGCCAGGGUGACCCCUUCUCCCCAUUCCUGUUCAACAUAGUUGUUGAUGCGCUGGCGGCCAUUCUCGAUAAGGCCAAGGCGGCGGGACACAUUAAGGGGAUUGUCCCGCACCUUGUUGGAGGCAACGGGGUCUCCCUCCUCCAAUAUGCAGACGACACCAUUAUCAUGGUG
rnacentral:rRNA from 1 species